rnacentral:rRNA from 1 species
ACACGACUACGUAGUUUGAUCAUGGCUCAGGAUGAACGCUAGCGGCAGGCCUAAUACAUGCAAGUCAAGGGGAUAGCAAUAUCACCGGCGGACGGGUGCGUAACGCGUACACAACGUGCCCAAGGGCGGAGGAAAGCGGCGGGAAACUGCCGGUAAUACUCCAUGGUGUUGUUGAGUGGCAUCACUUAACAACUAAAGUACAAGCGCCCUUGGAUCGGUGUGCGUUCGAUUAGCUAGUUGGCGGGGUAACGGCCCACCAAGGCUUCGAUCGAUAGGGGGUGUGAGAGCAUGACCCCCCACACGGGUACUGAGACACGGACCCGACUCCUACGGGAGGCAGCAGUAAGGAAUAUUGGACAAUGGGCGGAAGCCUGAUCCAGCCAUGCCGCGUGAAGGACGAAGGCGCUCAGCGUUGUAAACUUCUUUUGGAUGGGAACAAUAACUCCGACUUGUCGGAACUUGAGGGUACCAUCAGAAUAAGCACCGGCUAACUCCGUG